GACGAACGCUGGCGGCGUGCUUAACACAUGCAAGUCGAACGGAAAGGCCCUGCGUUCUUGGGGUGCUCGAGUGGCGAACGGGUGAGUAACACGUGAGUAACCUGCCCUUGACUUUGGUAUAACUUCAGGAAACUGGGGCUACUACCGUAUAGCAUCUCCUGCUGCAUUGUGGGGGUGGGAAAGUUUCGGCGGUUGGGGAUGGACUCGCGGGUUAUCGGCUUGUUGGUGGGGUAGUGGUUGACCAAGGCAUUGACGGGUAGCCGGCCUGAGAGGGUGAACGGCGACAUGGGGACUAAGGGACGCAGCAGUCGGCUAUGGUAGGCAGUAGGGGGGAGUAUGAUACAGUGAGAGGGAGCCUGUGACGACGACGCCGGGGUCGUGAUGACGGCUUGCGGGGUGUGAACCGCUGUCGCCUGAGACGAAGCGGGAGUGACGGUAACGGGUAAAGAAGCACCGGCUAACUACGUG
rnacentral:rRNA from 1 species